ACGAACGCUGGCGGCGUGCCUAAUACAUGCCAGUUGCGCGAUGAAGAUUGGUGCUUGCACCAAUUUGAAGAGCAGCGAACGGGUGAGUAACGCGUGGGGAAUCUGCCUUUGAGCGGGGGACAACAUUUGGAAACGAAUGCUAAUACCGCAUAACAACUUUAAACAUAAGUUUUAAGUUUGAAAGAUGCAAUUGCAUCACUCAAAGAUGAUCCCGCGUUGUAUUAGCUAGUUGGUGAGGUAAAGGCUCACCAAGGCGAUGAUACAUAGCCGACCUGAGAGGGUGAUCGGCCACAUUGGGACUGAGACACGGCCCAAACUCCUACGGGAGGCAGCAGUAGGGAAUCUUCGCAAUGGACGAAAGUCUGACCGAGCAACGCCGCGUGAGUGAAGAAGGUUUUCGGAUCGUAAAACUCUGUUGGUAGAGAAGAACGUUGGUGAGAGUGGAAAACUCAUCAAGUGACGGUAACUACACAGAAAGGGACGGCUAACUACGUG
rnacentral:rRNA from 1 species